CCCCCGGCAGGUUUCGCAUGGUGCGGCCUGGCAGCUUUGGGGCGCCUGAGCCGACUUCCCCGUGGACUCUGGGGGCGGGCAGGGGGCGAGGGCAGCGGGAGGAGCCUGGCCUGCGGGGCAGCGGCUGGCUAGCAGCCUGAGGGCAAUAGCGGGAGGGGCUGAGGAGACCAGUCGAGUCAGUUGGGUUUCGUGUUGGUUGGGGUUGUCUCUUGGGGUCUGCGGUGGCCAGAAAAUGUCUGCAGAGCUGCUGGCUUUUUUAGAGGGGUCUAAAGGGGGCAAAGAGCAGAGGGUAACAGGAAGGCGAGGGUCGAGCUGGCUUGAAGCCGUGUCGUGAACUGGGAUAAGGUGGGUCGAGUCUCUAAUCUGAGGCGUAUGAUUUUUCUGCAUGUUUUCUUACAGUUACUGCUUUCUCCUUGUUCUUGGGUCUGGUCUGGUAGUGGAGGGGUGCUGGAUGCAUCCGCUGCAACAGGGGUCAUGAAGAGCCUUGUGUAGAGGCUACUUCCCCAUGUGUGGCACAGGGGUUUGCAUUGGUUUGUGUUACCUGUGUUGGUAACAGAAAGGAUUUGUCUGCUUACUGCCCUAGGAGUCAAAGGAUGUGAGAUUUCUUAAGUUCUCAGUAAAGAUCGUCAGUGAGAUAUCAUGGGAGUCCGGAUAUCAGCAGCCUCCAAAGUCUGUGUGAAGGAGAAAACUGGGCUUUCUCCAAAACCUGCUGUUGGCAAGGUUGGUCCUUUAAUGAUAAAUGUGGUUAUUUGCUGAAUUUUCAGGGGUUAGGAGAUUAUCUGUUAUGACAUUUGUCCUUACACAGAGAGCCAGUGAAGACAAUUGAAUCCCUUACAUCACAUUAUCACAUUUGUAUGGUCUGAAAGGCUCAUUGGAUAUUAAGCUAUUUCUAUGGAUUUUUUGAACCAGAUUCCAAACAAUACUGGCUGAAAAUGAAAAUUACUCUUUACCCUUCCUUUUUCUUCUUUUUUUUAAUAAUCAAAGAAUUCAAGAGUAGGAAAGGUUACCAAGUCCUUUCCUCAGCAAGAGUGGACUCCCUUUUUUCUGGAUUGCUCUUUAUUUGUUAAUGGAAAUUUGGGGUGGGGGGGAGAAUCAUCUUCAUUGUUCAUCUUUAGUUUACUUGUAGAAAUAAAAAAGCCUAGUCUUA